rnacentral:rRNA from 1 species
GAUGAACGCUGGCGGCGUGCCUAAUACAUGCAAGUCGAGCGAACAGACGAGGAGCUUGCUCCACUGACGUUAGCGGCGGACGGGUGAGUAACACGUGGAUAACCUACCUAUAAGACUGGAAUAACUUCGGGAAACCGGAGCUAAUACCGGAUAAUAUAUUGAACCGCAUGGUUCAAUAGUGAAUGACGGGUUUGCCGUCACUUAUAGAUGGAUCCGCGCAGCAAUAGCUAGCUGGUGGGGUAACGGCUUACCAAGGCGACGAUGGGUAGCCGACCUGCGAGAGUGACCGGCCACACUGGAACCUAAAGGGGGCCCGCAGUACGAAGUUUGCCAGAAGGGCGGAAGACUGACGGAGCAGCGGCGGGCUAGUGAUGAAGGUCUGCGGAUCGUAAGACUCUGUUAUUAUGGAAGAACAAAUGCGUAAAUAACGAUGCACGUCUUGACGGUACUUAAUAAGAAAGCAACGGCUAACUACGUG